rnacentral:lncRNA from 1 species
AACUCUGAUCAGAUCAUCCGAAUCGUGCUCAACUCAAACAGUCCUGUGACUCCUCACAAGGACUAUCCUGGCCAAGGUUUUGCUAAAUUGAAACACGACUGUACACAGCUCCUAAACUGGAGUGAUCAAUCCCAUCUUGAGACACGCACCGACAAGUCAAGUACUUGACUACACCCAGCAACCUUCCAUCACUGAAUUAAAAAUUCAGGUAGUCCAGUGCCUAAGUGCAGUGAGUUGCUUGCAAGUCACCGU